CUGUGAUUGGCUGAGAGUGUCAGCUGACUGCUUUUAGCCUGUCAGAGCUCCAACUGACGGUAUGAAUGGGUAUGACAACAAGGAAGUGUGUAAUCUCUGCCUUAGCUACACGUACAGAAGGGGCCGAAUUGUGGGUGGCCAGGGACUCUUAUUUUGUGGCAUACUGCACAAACAUGGUUCAACACUGAAUGGAGGGACAGUGCCAGGGUACUCCAGGCACUGUAACCAAUUCAAAGAGAUGAAAUGUUUAUAGUGACUACAGUGUCCCUUUAAGAAGACAUCCACUGAAUGUCAAUCAACCAAAGUGACCAGGAGCCACAGGUCUUGACAGUCACAAUUGAAGGAUGAAAUGCGUUGGACGUUCUUAUGGUUCUUAUGGUGACAUGCUAUUUGUUUU